rnacentral:lncRNA from 1 species
ACACCAGCUGGAAGCAGCCCAGCAGACCCCUCUGAACGCUCCCGGCCGGCUGUACGCCGCCCUCCACCCCCCGGAGCAGCUCACCGGGGGGAACCCGGGGAGCCCCGCCGCCGGCGCUGCGCAGGUUUUGGGGUGUGCUCCGAGAGCCCAGCCUGCCGGGCUCCCCCCGGGGAUCCCCCAGCGCGCCGCGGCCGCCCCCCGCUCACCUUCGUGCCGGCUGGGCUGGGCUCGGCUCGGCUCGGCUGGGGCCCGCCGCCCUCCUCCCCGCGGCCGGGUGCCGCGCCGCCCCGCACGGAUCUCCCGCGGCGGCAGCCGCCGCGCUGCCAGCGCCGAGGCGUGAGGGCGGCCCCACGUGCGCCGGCUGCGCCAAUCCGCGCCGCCCGCCGACCGACGGACCCCCGCCGACCGACAGACGGAACCCCGCCGGCCGGCAGGCACCCGCCCUCGGCCCCGGACCCGGCCCCGGCCCCGGUCCCGGCCCCGGCCCGGGCCGGCCUCGAACCGGCGGCGCGGCGGGCGCUGCGCGGUGGAGGUGGCGGCCGCGGGGACAGGAAGCGGCUCCGGGCCACGGGAGGAAACCAACGCGCCGGGACCAGAGUUUGGGACCUGCCGGCGGGGAGGGGACAAAGGAGCCCCGCUGGGCAACCUCAGGGCCGAGCCCCGGCUGCUGGAGUUCGGGCGGACAAAGCUGCGGAGCGGAGUUACUCGCUGAAGCAGCCUUCUUUACCGAAAAACUCGGUAAAGCAGCCUUUUAGCGCUCUCGUGAGUUUCGCAGGAAAACUGGAGCGCGCUCGCUCGCUGUCACAGAGUACCGGCCCCCAGGUGGAACAACAGCACGGAAAGAAACACCGACGGGGAACCUUCCGUCGGGAAAGUAUGGGAGCGACUACUCAGGCUCACCCUGGGACCCUGAAGGCAGCGCCAUCACGUUCUGCUGGAGCAUCAGACCCCGGCCCACAGCCAGAGAUCGAGGCUGGAAACAAAGUUUGUCGCCACACGCUCCGCUCCUGGUGCUAUGAGGUGCCCGGCCCCAUGCCACGGAGCUGGGACUGCUGCCACUCUUCACGGUGGCAGCACUGA